CUGUGGUCGCUCCUGCGCAUGCGCGGCCGCCAUGAGGGACAGGACGCGGGAACCGCGCCAGAAUGGGCUUGUCUCCCGUCAUUUUUACACAAAAAUGGUGACCUCGACGUGAUAGGCGCCACGGUGGAGUGAGGAAAAAGAGUUCAGUGCUGAAUUGAAAUAGAGUGCACCGUGCCCCAGGUGACUGCAGAGGCAAGCCUGGCCGAUACGUGCUGCCGACGACCUCGGAGGGCUGCAACAGCGCUGACAAUAGAGAUGUCGUGGAUGUGCUGGCUGUUCUGAUGGAGGGCAGUGGUGGCUUAGAUGAAGAAAUUUGGUUCUCUUAAAUGUUGUCCCUGCUGCAUUAGAAGCCAGGAAUAUGCUUUGCUUCAGUCUGAAAACGGAACAGGAGCAGAUGAUGUGGAGUACCUUGGUGCUGUUUUCACUGGCCUCCUGCACUCUCUGAGAGAACCCCUUGCUCCCUGCGUGACGUUCCAGCUCUGUGACAAAGCUGCUAAGUAUCCUCAGCUCUACCAGUUUAACCUAUACUGUAGACUCUGGAUGCCCAAGCAGUCCCAGGAACCUGUGGUAUGGAAUCCCUGAAGUCACUGAAUUCUUGAGCCAGUAUUCCUAUAAAAUCCUCGCAGUCGACAUAGGUUACAUUUCCAUCAGAAACAGCGUUUUUAUUGAGGAGUUUGAAAACCACAAGGAGGUAAGCCAAGGGCCUCCUGUGGCACCGGAUUCUGAAUUUGCCACUUUGCUGAAGGGAGCCUGGGAGAGAGGAAGCAGUACCUUCCUGGAAGAUGGUGUUCAGACAAAGUGGAGAGACUUGGCUUCCCGGCUCCCCCCACCUGAGCAGCUUUUGUUGGGAGUAAAGCACGUGCUGCUGUACCCGAAAUCCACAGUAGAGAACUUCAGCAGAUAAUACUGCAGUUAUGCUUGGUGUACUUUAUGGCACAAGUUACAAAUGACUUGACUGCUAAAACUUAGGUUCCAGUGCUGUAGCUCUUUUUCCUCGACUCGGCUCCAAGGCUAUGCAGCACCAUACAAAACUGCACCUAAUUUGUAAACAAACGUCAGUUUAUUCUGAUUAUUGAAGCCGGGCUUUAUUCAGUUGAAUUUCGGGUGUGUGCUGCGCCCAGGUCCUUUGUACAAAUAGGGUAUGGAGGGUGGGGGAACCAGAACUGCACAUUCCUUGUGAUAUGUAUGGGAUUUUGGGGGGGUUAAAUAAAAAGGAGAUGCAAAAUGAGGGAA